CCUACCUGGUUGAUCCUGCCAGUAGUCAUAUGCUUGUCUCAAAGAUUAAGCCAUGCAUGUCUAAGUCCAAGCUGUGUUUACACGGCGAGACCGCGGACGGCUCAUUAAAUCAGUCGUGGUCCAAAUGGGCCAGUCCUUUUUACUUGGAUAACUGUGGUAAUUCCAGAGCUAAUACAUGCAACUCAUACCCUGAUGGGAGUUCCCUCUUGCGCUUGUCGCCUGUGGUGCUUCUUCCUGAAGGGUGCUUUUAUUAGACCAAACCGCUGGGGGUUGUCGUGUUUUCGCGUGCGUCUUCUUUGCGUGCUCCUUGUGUGUGCGUUGGAGGGGCGUGCGCGUGCGGCAGCUUGACUCGCUUUAUGGUGACUCUGGAUAACCAUUUCUGACAAGCGCACGUACCCCUCUCCGAGUGGGACGGCGCUGCCACUUUCGAGUGUCUGCUCUAUCAGCUGUCAACCGCUCGCUACACGCGAACGAUGGCUUUGACGGGUAACGGGGAAUCAGGGUUCGAUUCCGGAGAGGCAGCCUGAGAGACGGCUACCACGUCCAAGGACGGCAGCAGGCACGCAAACUACCCAAUCCCAGCAUCUGGGGGAGGUAGUGACGAAAUCUAACGAUGCGAGCGCCCUUACCGGGCCUCGCAAUCGGAAUGAGCGCUUUCUAAACAACCCAUUGAGGACCUACUGAAGGGCAAUCUGGUGCCAGCAGCCGCGGUAAUUCCAGCUUCAGUAGCAUCUAUUAAAGUUGCUGCGGUUAAAAGGCUCGCAGUUGAAUGUCAGUGCCGGGCGUUGGUUAGGUGGACGUUGGGGUGUGGGAUCAAGUGGUGUGCGCUGCUCUUCGCCUCUCUCGCACUCUCUCGCGUGCGCGCGGUGUCUCGGCGUUCGUGUGUGUGUGUGCUCUUAGCUCACCAGGCCCUCGCGGGUUCUGUGUGUGGCGGGGUGCGCGCGCGCGCGUGCGUAUUCACGGGCCCGCCGCCGCGUGGUCACGGGUGCUUGGGGGUGGGCUCGCUCGCUACUCCCGCGACAUGCUCCCGUCCGUAACAAGCCUCCGCGCCUGCGUACAUAGUGGUGCUUGACUGGGGUGACGGACAAGGCGUCGGCGUAUGCUUGCCGGGCUGGCUUUUGAUGGGCGGCGCGUGUGUGUGUUCGCACGCACACUCUCUCACUCUCUCCAGCUGCCCGUGUCUUCGCUCGCCGCUCGCUCCCGUCUUCUCCUAGAGUAUCAGUGUCACCGUGAGUAAAUCGGAGUGCUCAAAGCAGUCGUAACGGGCCUCGUGCCCUGUGAACAGUCUUGACGGACUGACUUGGUUUUGCAUGGUAUGUCGGAAGACGACGUCGAGCGCUGGCUAAGAGGUAUUUUUAAUGAAUCAGUGGUAUAAGCCAGCCUCGACGUACUGAUUAAAAGGGCUUGUCGAGGGCAUUGGUAUUGCGGAGCGAGAGGUGAAAUUCUAUGACCUCCGCAAGACCGCCCGAAGCGAAAGCGUCUGCCAAGGAUGUUUUCAUUAAUCAUGAACGAAAGUUAGAGGAUCGAAGGCGAUCAGAUACCGCCCUAGUUCUAACCCUAAACGAUGCCAACCAUCAAUCCGCGCGUAGCACCCUUUAUGACGGGCUCGGCGGGCAGCUCCUUUUCACGGGAAACCAGAGUCUCUGGGUUCCGGGGGGAGUCUGGUUGCAAAGCUGAAACUUAAAGGAAUUGACGGAAAGGCACCACCAGGCGUGGAGCUGCGGCUUAAUUUGACUCAACACGGGCCAUCUCACCAGGCCAGCACUCUAGCAUGAUUGACAGAUUGAGAGCUCUUUCUCGAUUCAGUGGAUGGUGGUGCAUGGCCGUUCUUAGUUGGUGGAGUGAUCUGUCUGGUUAAUUCCGAUAACGAACGAGACUCUCCCCUGCUAACUAGUCGGCUGGAUCUUGCUCGGUGAGUCGUGCACCGGCGGUGCUUGGCGGCUCGGUAAGCUGCGGGUGUUCUCGCGUGUCUGCGUGUGUGGGGUGGUGGUGUGUGCGUGUGCGCGUCUAACGAGGCGUGUGCCGCGCGCGCUGCUGCUUUGCGCGCGCCCGCGUGCUCCGCUCUGCAGCCCCGGUCGUUGGAGGCCCCGGAUCGUACACUCCAAGUCCGCCGCUUAUGAUAUAACUCUUCUUAGAGGGAUCCACGGCUCUGAAGCCGUCAGAGACUGAGAGCAAUAACAGGUCUGUGAUGCCCUUAGAUGCUCUGGGCCGCACGCGCGCUACAAUGCCGGGCACAGCAGGUUCUCUUCCUGCUUCGAGAGAAGCGGGCAACCCUCUGAAAGCCCUCGAUCACACUCGUUUUCAACGUAACGAAUGGCGUGCUUGGGCCUGGGGCUUGCAAUUAUUCCCCACAAACGAGGAAUGCCUAGUAGCGGCGAGUCACUGAGCUCGCUGUGACUCAGUCCCUGCCCUUUGUACACACCGCCCGUCGCUACUACCGAUUGGGUGUACCAGUGAGAGCCUUGGACUGGCGGCCGUUGCCUCUUUGGGGCAAGCGGAUUCGACGGAAAGAGGUCCGAACUGGUGCACUUAGAGGAAGUAAAAGUCGUAACAAGGUUUCCGUAGUGAACCUGCGGAAGGAUCAUUA
rnacentral:rRNA from 1 species